GGGCCCGUGGUCUAGUGGUAUGACGUCGCUCUCACACAGCGGAGAUAGGCGGUCCGAUUCCGCCCGGGCCCA
rnacentral:tRNA from 1 species